UACGAAGGGGGCUAGCGUUGUUCGGAUUUACUGGGCGUAAAGCGCGUGUAGGCGGACCCGUAAGUUGGGGGUGAAAGCCCAGAGCUCAACUCUGGAAUUGCCUUCAAAACUGCAGGUCUGGACUCAAGGAGAGGCGAGUGGAAUUGCGAGUGUAGAGGUGAAAUUCGUAGAUAUUCGCAGGAACACCAGUGGCGAAGGCGACUCGCUGGACUUGUAGUGACGCUGAGACGCGAAAGCGUGGGGAGCAAACAGG
rnacentral:rRNA from 1 species